CCUACGGGGGGCUGCAGUGGGGAAUCUUGCGCAAUGGGGGAAACCCUGACGCAGCGACGCCGCGUGCGGGAUGACGAUCUUCGGAUUGUAAACCGCUUUUCUUGGGGACGAUAAUGACGGUACCUGAGGAAGAAGCCCCGGCUAACUCCGUGCCAGCAGCCGCGGUAAGACGGGGGGGGCAAGCGUUAUCCGGAAUUACUGGGCGUAAAGCGCACGUAGGCGGCUUUGUACGGCGGUGGUGAAAGCUCCCGGCUCAACUGGGAGAGGUCCGCCGCACCGGCAGAGCUCGAGGGUGGUAGAGGUUGAUGGAAUUCCUGGUGUAGCGGUGAAAUGCGUAGAGAUCAGGAGGAACACCCGUGGCGAAGGCGGUCAACUGGGCCACGCCUGACGCUGAGGUGCGAAAGCCAGGGGAGCGAACGGGCUUAGAUACCCCAGUAGUC
rnacentral:rRNA from 1 species